rnacentral:lncRNA from 1 species
CCGCCCGGCCCCGCGCAUCCCGCUCCCCGAAAACCUCUCCCUCCGUGCCAGGGCUCAUCCCCACCGUGUCGUAGCCGCCAUCAUCGCCCAAAUCCUCGCUCGCCCCACGCCGCGCCGAAAUCCUCAUGCCCCACGCCUGCCCCUGCCCCUGCCUCCCAAACCGCGCCCAUUCGAACCGGCCGCCCGAAUCUAGCGCAAGCACGCAGGCGGUGAUGACGGCCACGGGAGACAGCCGGCGCUCGGCGUGAUUCCCGCCCCGCCGCGAGCCAAGAGGUUCGAGGUCAAGUUCGCGGACCCCCCGCCGUGCCCCGCGCUCCCACGCCCGCACAGGCAUCUAGCCCCCAUCCCCCUCCCGCUCGAGAUAUCCGCCGAUCUAGCCUGUCGGGGGGUCCGCGACGUGUGGAAGGGUGAGCAUCGACGAUGGCGGUAGAAGAGGAGGAAGCCUUCGAUGGUGCGCUCACCGACGAGCAGCUGCGAGAGGUAGUGCCAUGGCUGCCCCAUAUCCUUAUUGCAUUUCCCCUGACGGUUGUUAACUGGGAUACAUGAAUCUGGGGUUCGGUUGCUUGCUGAGUGGGAUACACGAAUCGAUGUUGCAACCUUCUCCCUCUCUAGCCUAGGAACAAAGCCUCUGAGUUUAUUACGUCAUAUAAUAUAAUAUAAGGCCAUGAGAGAGCCAAGUUGAGAUAGAACAAAAAAUUCUCAGAGCAGUAAGAUUAUCCAAGCACUAACUGCUUUGCUUCAGAGUAGAUCACGAUGUUAUUCCGACUCAUCCUAGGGAAAACAGAUGUAAUUUUCGCAAACGAGGUUCACGCCAUUGCUUGGCAGGCUCUGUCGAAGCUCUCUACAGCGGAGGACAUUCGCUUCACCAGCGCAUGGUCCGGGUGUGCGAGCUUCAGCUGGCUGCAAAGCAACCAGUUUUUAUUACAGCGAUUCAGUUCAAGGUAUCCGAACUCAGGCUCAUCGUCAGGCAGAGUUGCAGAAACAAAACAACAUACGCCACUUGAAGAAGUCCACCAAAUGAAGUUUUUUUAACAAAAAGAAUGGGAAAACUUACUUGAGGUAGCGCGUUGUGGGUUUCCCCAGGUUCAGGCUGCACACCGUGAGGUUGGCGAGAGUCUUAGUAUCCUUGGCGUCCUGAAUAGUUAGAGCAGUUCCGUGUAAGCACAGACAGACAUGUCAAGGAUUUUGUUUCAGAAAUGCACAGGCGGACAACAUUGGCGUGCGUUCAGCAGUGCAGCUAUGGUGGUUGGCUACUCCUAUUUGCAAAGGAAAUGCUAGUUUGGGGGAAAAGCUGGGCUGGGAUCACCGGAGCUGAUCGACCUUGUUCAGUGACUCGAGCAGCAACCCCUCCGCGUCCUCGAAGUUUCCCAUGUGCGUCGAGCACAGGGCUUUCCCGUUAAGAAUCGUGCAGGUCGUCGGGUACUUGUCGGACAGGUCCUGGAAGAUGAGGCGCGCUUCUUGGAUCUUGGAACCACCCUGAAAAACAUGACAAGUCAUGGUGUACAGUACUACUUGAACAACACCAAAGGUUCUUCGGAAAUUCAAGUGCCUGGACUGAAGGAAACUCUAGAAUUUAUAGCCAAGGUUGCCACUCAUGCCAUUUCUUCCAGCAGAGAUGUAUGUGUGUGCCUACCAGCACAAGGUCGACCCAUGCGUUAGUGAGCUGCGUCA